rnacentral:rRNA from 1 species
UACGGGGGGGGCAAGCGUUGUUCGGAAUUACUGGGCGUAAAGGGCUCGUAGGCGGCCAACUAAGUCAGACGUGAAAUCCCUCGGCUUAACCGGGGAACUGCAUCUGAUACUGGAUGGCUUGAGAUUGGGAGAGGGAUGCGGAAUUCCAGGUGUAGCGGUGAAAUGCGUAGAUAUCUGGAGGAACACCGGUGGCGAAGGCGGCAUCCUGGACCAACACUGACGCUGAGGCACGAAAGCUAGGGGAGCAAACAGG